UUCUGUGAACUGGGUCCCUGCCCGGUCAUCACAUUUCUACUGCUUUUGGUCACCACCAGGCUGCCUUGGAUUUAACCUGUCAGUCAAGAGGGGAAAGGCCCAAUAGUCCAUUAUCUGUCCCAGGUGCCAUCCAGACUCUCUGGAGAACACUUUUAUUUGACUCAACCAUUACUUCUCCUUGCCCUCGUCCUCCGUUUCUUGGCAUCCAGCCCCGUCACUGCAACACACUCAGUGCUCCAGCUAGGGGGGACACUCAAGGCUGCUUUGGGGAUAGCUGCCUACACCCCUUCCCCUUCAUCAUCUCUUAUAGUGCAGCCUUGCAAGGUGCAGAGCAUGCCUGGUUCUCAUUAACUUCUCCAGGAGAGGAGAGGACUCGAUAUCCCCCGGGACCAGACACCUGGAGUGCAGCUCUAGCCUCCUUUUCCAUGCGCUAAGGUUUAGAUUUUCUACAACCUGGUGGCACUCACAGGGCAUCAUUAAGACCAUGGAAAUUUGUUUAGUUCUGUUCUAAUAGAUCCCUGCAGGGAGAGAGAGAUUUUAUUAGAACAGCUCUUUCCCCUUUCACCCAGCCCUCCAAUGAGCUGAGUGCUCACCUCACAUGGCCACAGAAGUCUCUUUCUGCUGCUGGAUUGGAGGCUGCAUGUGACCCUAACCAGGCUGUGGCAUGUUGUCAGGGUUUAUUAGACACACAACUGCUUGGCUGCAGUGUUAAGGUUCAGAAGCCAAGUCAUUUUUAGCAAAACAAGACAUUUAAGGCCCAGCCUUCUUUCUCUCCAGCGUGGUGGGAAAGGUCUCUUGUUAUACCCAACCUCUCUCAGCACAGCAAACCUUCCUGUUAUUCUGCCAGUUAAUUCAGAGCUGCUUUAUUAAGGAAGCCCUAGUAGAGAGAGGGGGGAAUACAUAGUAGCUCUCUCUCUCCCUGCUUGCAGCUGGCCCAAGUGGGCUCAGGUGUGGUCAGGGUGGCACUUUGCUCCAGACACAUCCCCACAUCAAUGGAUUAACAGCACCUGCCUCUAAGGGUAGGCUUACUCAGAAAUCUCAGGGAAGUUAGACAUCUCUAGUUUGUUCUAAGCUUCUGUCCCACCAAAAGGUGCAUGCUUCAUCUCAGAAAAGGGGAAACCCACCAGUCAUCAGUAUACCAGUGUGAAAAUCCCUGUCAUAAAGGCAGUCCGGAUGGGGGAGUGAUAAAUGGUCUGAAAGACAUGACAAGACCAAAACGCUCGGUGUAGAGCAGACGUUCCACACGGUAUAAAUGGGAAGCUGUCUACUGAACUCAGCAGAGGAUCUGGGAGCGUGGCAGGAUUUGUAAGGCGUUGCUGCUGAACUAGGGGCCUGGCCGUUCGCUGACUACUGCUGAACUACAAAUACUGACUGAAAUCCACAAUAUGAUGCUACCUCUAAAGAUGUCAUUCACCGUGAUCUCCCUGGUGCUUUGACUGAAAAGGAUUUUCCUUCCAGAAAGAAAUGAAUUGGGAUGGGGAAGGGAAGCAUGGCAGACCUGUGCAUCCGAGCUUUGACAUGCAUUUGGACAUAGCUCUAGAAAACCUACUCUAAUGGCCUAGUGUGACUAGGUAUGCCACAGGUUAAGAACUCGCUCCUGUUCAUUCUUUUACAUACCGCUUUCGCGUGAGCAACAGCCGGUUGCACUGACCCCUCCGCCCACUGACCUACAGGGUCCAUUUCCAGCUUGAACUCGGAGGUGCCUCUAAAUGACUGGGAGGAAAAUGCAGUGUUUUCAGAUGAGCUAAAAGUUCCCUGUACCAUUAACAAAAUGGAAGGAGGCUGUAAAUUGAAGCGAGGAAGACUCCAACUAAAAAAAUCUACUAGUUUUCACCUUCCCAUGAUGGGAGCAUUCAUCUUUCGAGGUGGUGGGGGAAAAAAAACCAGUUCAGGGAGGCCUCAUUGCAAUCUGGCCCCACGAUUCAUUUCGAAUAGAAGAAACUAUUUUACUGUGUACCUGAAGGAUCCACCAAAUGAACCGUCUAAAAAGUCUGAGUUGUCCUAAGCUGCUUUUGAGAUGAGAACAAAACCAAACCAAAAGGCUGACUUUGCAUCGCCACUACAAAAUCACCAAGUUGCUCAUUUUAAAGCCAAUUUGUUUGCUGCCACAAGACCUGAAUAUUUUUUUUUUUUUUUUUAUUUGCCAUGUUUAAAUUUUGAACAUUUAAAGACUAAGUUCUGCAUUCUGGCAGGGAAGAGAGGAAAUACGAGAGGAACUCAAAGCUUAAUUACAGUGAGACAGCCCAAACUAUACCAUUGUGAAUGGCACUACUAUCUGUUGUAGUAAAAUGAGGAAAUGAAGCAGGAGAGACUGCCCCCGCAAGGAGAGAGAAAAAAAACACAGAGUGAAUCAAACAGCUUGCUAUUUGCCUGAAUGCUGCUGACUCAAGAGCGGCUUGGCAUUGACUGAGGUAGACCUUGCUUCUCCUCUUCAUCCUCUAAGCAGCAGCAAUCACAGCCCUACAGUACCGUGGGAGGAACACUAAUAGGUCAGCAAUUUUUUUUCCCCCAGAAAUUGGUUAAUCCUUGAAGCUAUUCUGCUAGUGCCAUCAAGAGGACAAAAGUUGUAAUUCAGCUGGCUGCCGGGGGGGGGGGAGGCAAUCAGUUAUCUUUCAUGCCUCAGAAACCAAUAUCUGUUGACCUUCUGAUAUGCAGGGCUCUCCAAAUUCUUAAAAACAGAGGCAGGAGAAGCCACUUGACUGCUAGAAUAUGUGUAGGCAUCUGUGGUUUCCUUCAUCUCUGCAUCCACUACUGGGGUGGAGAUGGAGCCAGUCUGUGAAUUACAGAAAAAGGGAAUCCCCAGAAAGAGAGUGAUAUUUUUUUUAAUUAUUAUUAUUUUGCUUGUGUGCAUAGGCAGAGCUUUAUGGAAGCAAGUGUGGCUGAUUGACUCAAGAAAAAGAGGACAGAGAGAAGCUAGGCAGAGUAGUCCCAUUCAAAAGACUGAAUGUAUAAUAAGUGUUAUCAACUAUCAGGUACCAAAGUGAUGUAUGUGUAUACACACAUACCUAUUUAGUGAGAGAUGUUUAGUUUAUUAAAUGAAAUCCAGCUGCCCCAAGUCUCCCUGAAGAUUCAAAUGGAUUAUGUCUAGUUGCUGGACUUCUCUUAAAUAUGACAGAAACCGCAGCCUAGAAAAAUAUCACACACCGUUGUGUAUACUCUAAAAUUGGUUGAAUUUUAAUAAGCAGAAAGGCAAGAGUUUAACUCUACAGACAUACUUCAGAGGAUGCUGAGCAAGUUUUCCAACACGGCUCUAACUCAGUCCUGAUGCAUACUACCCCUGUUAUCUUAGUCCUGGUCUCAAAAGCAAGCCAGCCUCACUUCGCACUGCCAGCUGGUGUACUGUACAUAUGCAAGUCUGAUGGGAUCAUCAACUAGAGAAGACCUGACCUCCAAACUGUUCAGACACAGUUUUAGCAUGGGCUCGUUUUAAUCAUGACAUGAACUUGGAUUUGAAAGGCUGUGCCCUUCUCCAAUUCCACCCUCAGCUGCAUAUCAUGGUCACAGGUUCAGCUGACAUGGGCAACUGUACUGUCCUGGCAAAAAGUUAAUUUAGACCAUUAUAUUUUGUCAAGCAGUUCACCCCCUAACUUUACAACUGGAUACAGGGAUUCUUUCUUUCUUGCCUUCCCCUGUUGUUUUAGUGUGGCAAUGUACUGGCAAACACCUGCUAUAUCCAGGGCUUGCAGUUCAGUGUUAUGCAAGGUUAGUCUAUCCCUUAUUAUUUCCCAGGGGCAAGGAGGCUCAACUAGUUAAUAUCUGCAAAGUUCUUUGAAAAACACAAGGUUCUGUAGAAAGACAAACUUACUCUAUUAGUAUUUUUGAACCUUUUUAAUGACACGAUGCAAAACUGCAUAAGAAAGAUAUAAUAGAAAGGGGGUGUCACUGUUGUACACAAAGGGGUCAACCUUUCCUUUAUCAUUUACCUAUUUUCUAAUAUUUUGUUAAUUUUUGUAAGACGUGCGUGGCUCCGGAUUAAUUUUUAAUUUUGAUGCCUGUGGUCUCAGUGCCAACCCUGUGCACGCGCACACACAAUUAUUUUUCCCUGAUGGGGAUGCUUGCUGUAUAAUCUUUCAAAUGCAUUUUUUCUGAAUUAUCUUAACAUA